rnacentral:rRNA from 1 species
UACGUAGGGGGCAAGCGUUGUCCGGAUUUAUUGGGCGUAAAGAGCGUGUAGGCGGCCAGAUAGGUCCGUUGUGAAAACUCGAGGCUUAACCUCGAGACGCCGAUGGAAACCAUUUGGCUAGAGUCCGGAAGAGGAGAGUGGAAUUCCUGGUGUAGCGGUGAAAUGCGCAGAUAUCAGGAAGAACACCCGUGGCUAAGGCGGCUCUCUAGUACGGUACUGACGCUGAGACGCGAAAGCGUGGGGAGCGAACAGG